rnacentral:rRNA from 1 species
CCCGCCUGCCCAGUGACAGUGUUUAACGGCCGCGGUAUUUUGACCGUGCAAAGGUAGCACAAUAAAUUGUCUCUUAAUUGGAGAACGGUAUGAAUGGCAUCACGAGGGCUUAACUGUCUCCCCUCUAAAGUCAAUGAAAUUGAUCUCCCCGUGCAGAAGCGGGGAUACACUCGUAAGACGAGAAGACCCUAUGGAGCUUUAGACAUAAGCCAGCCCACGUCAAACGCCCCAGUAAAGGAAAUGAACAAAAUGGCCCCUGAUGGUAUGUCUUCGGUUGGGGCGACCACGGAGAAAGACAAAACCUCCACAUGGACUGGGGCUACUACGCCCUAAAACACAGACCCACAGGUCAAAUAAACAGUACAUCUGACCAUAAAAGAGCCGGCAUAAGCCGAUCAAUGGACCAAGUUACCCUAGGGAUAACAGCGCAAUCCUCUCAAAGAGACCAUAUCGACGAGGGGGUUUACGACCUCGAUGUUGGAUCACGACAUCCUAAUGGUGUAGCCGCUAUUAAGGGUUCGUUUGUUCAACGAUUAACAGUCCUACGUGAUCU